rnacentral:rRNA from 1 species
CAGUCGCCACGGUAAUACGGAGGGUGCAAGCGUUAUCCGGAUUUAUUGGGUUUAAAGGGUCCGUAGGCGGAUCUGUAAGUCAGUGGUGAAAUCUCACAGCUUAACUGUGAAACUGCCAUUGAUACUGCAGGUCUUGAGUAAAUUUGAAGUGGCUGGAAUAAGUAGUGUAGCGGUGAAAUGCAUAGAUAUUACUUAGAACACCAAUUGCGAAGGCAGGUCACUAAGAUUUAACUGACGCUGAUGGACGAAAGCGUGGGGAGCGAACAGGAUUAGAUACCCGUGUAGUCCCUGUCUCUUAUAA